GACGAACGCUGGCGGCGUGCUUAACACAUGCAAGUCGAACGGAAAGGCCCUGCUUUUGUGGGGUGCUCGAGUGGCGAACGGGCGAGUAACACGUGAGUAACCUGCCCUUGACUUUGGGAUAACUUCAGGAAACUGGGGCUAAUACCGGAUAGGAGCUCCUGCUGCAUGGUGGGGGUUGGAAAGUUUCGGCGGUUGGGGAUGGACUCGCGGCUUAUCAGCUUGUUGGUGGGGUAGUGGCUUACCAAGGCUUUGACGGGUAGCCGGCCUGAGAGGGUGACCGGCCACAUUGGGACUGAGAUACGGACCAGACUCGUACGGGAGGCAGCAGUGGGAAGUAUUGCACAGUGGGCGGAAGCCUGAUGCAGCAGCGCCGCGUGCGGGAAGACGGCCUUCGGGUUAUGAACCGCUUUCGCCUGUGACGAAGCGUGAGUGACGGUAAUGGGUAAAGAAGCACCGGCUAACUACGUG
rnacentral:rRNA from 1 species